rnacentral:rRNA from 1 species
ACUCAAAGGAAUUGACGGGGGCCCGCACAAGCGGCGGAGCAUGCGGAUUAAUUCGAUGCAACGCGAAGAACCUUACCUGGGUUUGACAUCUCCGGUAAUCCGGCAGAGAUGUCGGGUCCUUCGGGGCCGGUGACAGGUGGUGCAUGGCUGUCGUCAGCUCGUGUCGUGAGAUGUUGGGUUAAGUCCCGCAACGAGCGCAACCCUUGUUCGAUGUUGCCAGCGGUUCGGCCGGGGACUCAUCGAAGACUGCCGGGGUCAACUCGGAGGAAGGUGGGGAUGACGUCAAGUCAUCAUGCCCCUUAUGUCCAGGGCUUCACGCAUGCUACAAUGGCUAGUACAAUGGGUUGCGAUGCCGUGAGGUGGAGCGAAUCCCAAAAAGCUGGUCUCAGUUCGGAUCGGGGUCUGCAACUCGACCCCGUGAAGUCGGAGUCGCUAGUAAUCGCAGAUCAGCAACGCUGCGGUGAAUACGUUCCCGGGCCUUGUACACACCGCCCGU